UACGUAGGGGGCAAGCGUUGUCCGGAUUUAUUGGGCGUAAAGAGCGUGUAGGCGGCCAUACAGGUCAGCUGUGAAAACUCGAGGCUCAACCUCGAGACGUCGGUUGAAACCGUAUGGCUAGAGUCCGGAAGAGGAGAGUGGAAUUCCCGGUGUAGCGGUGAAAUGCGCAGAUAUCGGGAAGAACACCUAUGGCGAAGGCAGCUCUCUGG
rnacentral:rRNA from 1 species